GACAGAGGGUGCAAACGUUGCUCGGAAUCAUUGGGCGUAAAGCGCGUGUAGGUGGCUCUCCACGUCGGAUGUGAAAGCCCGGGGCUCAACCCCGGCAGUGCAUCCGAAACGAGGGAGCUAGAGUGCUGGAGAGGCGGGUGGAAUUCCCGGUGUAGAGGUGAAAUUCGUAGAUAUCGGGAGGAACACCGGUGGCGAAGGCGACCCGCUGGCCAGCAACUGACACUGAGACGCGAAAGCGUGGGGAGCAAACAGG
rnacentral:rRNA from 1 species